GAGUGCGCCCUUCUCGGGUCCCCUAGGUCGCGGGGCAGCCGGGGCGGAAGGGGCUUGUUCAUUAUUUUGAGAGUUUGUUGUGAACGUCAUAACCUUUCGUCCUUAAAUAUUGCCGAUACUUGACCUACGCAAGAGACAAUGUCAUGUGAUUCAGCCUAAUAUCUCAGAGGAUGCAGCAUUCAAGGUUCUAUCUUGGAAGCAGAGACUGUGCCCUCACCAGAUGCUGAACCUGCUGAGCACCCUGAUCUUCCACUUCACCUUCAUCAGAACUGUUUUCGUAUCAGGAUGAUGCUGGCCUCAUACAAUGAGUUAGGGACGCGCAUGAAAUUUGGUGCCGUGACUCGGAUCGGCGGACCUCCCUUAGGAGAUCAAUCCCCUGUCCUCCUGCUCUUUGCUCCAUGAGAAAGAUCCACCUACGACCUAAGGUCCUCAGACCAACCAGCCCAAGAAACAUCUCACCAAUUUCAAAUCCGAAAUCCUUCAUCUAAUCUGGCAAACACAUGUGGCAGGUUUUUCUCACCGCAUAAAAUAUGUUAUAGAGUAGUCCAUCUAUUUCUCUUCCAUGGAAGAGUUCAUCUGGUAGAUUGGACUACCACUUUUCCUUGUCCCGAGUUCUCAUCCCGCAUCCAGGAAGAAUGAGGUUAUGUGGACACCUGGAGGGUGAGCGAGGCUGAGAAAAGCUUUAUUGGGCAACCAGACAGCUCUCAGAAGAGAGGUGACCUGAAGCAGCCAUAAUUUUAGCUUGUCUAAACUGCUUACCUGGUGUGAUGACCAAGAGCUUAAUCUCUGAAAGGAUGAGAGACGUUGAGCUCCAAACUCAGACUAAGAAACUAUAAGAAAUAUGCUUCAAUGAAGAAGCUGUUCAAAAAUGAGUAAGAUUGUUUCCUUGAGGCAAGAAAGAAAUGCAGAAGUCUUGACAAACAAAAGAAGAGAUUGCCUUAGGGAAGGGGACUACAGUGAACACUGAGAACUUCUUCCCACGCUAAGACAAUCUUUACAGAGCAAGACUCCGUCUCAAAAAAAAAAAAAAAAGUAAGCAUAAGAA
rnacentral:lncRNA from 1 species